AACGAACGCUGGCGGCAGGCCUAACACAUGCAAGUCGAGCGGGACCUUCGGGUCUAGCGGCGGACGGGUUAGUAACGCGUGGGAACGUGCCCAAAGGUACGGAAUAGCCUCGGGAAACUGAGAGUAAUACCGUAUGUGCCCCUCGGGGGAAAGAUUUAUCGCCUUUGGAUCGGCCCGCGUUGGAUUAGGUAGUUGGUGGGGUAAUGGCCUACCAAGCCGACGAUCCAUAGCUGGUUUGAGAGGAUGAUCAGCAACACUGGGACUGAGACACGGCCCAGACUCCUACGGGAGGCAGCAGUGGGGAAUCUUAGACAAUGGGGGAAACCCUGAUCUAGCCAUGCCGCGUGAGCGAUGAAGGCCUUAGGGUUGUAAAGCUCUUUCAGAUGGGAAGAUAAUGACGGUACCAUCAGAAGAAGCCCCCGGCUAACUCCGUGCCAGCAGCCGCGGUAAAGUACAGUGU
rnacentral:rRNA from 1 species